AGAACGGCAACCGGCUGUCCAACGGGUCAAUGGAAGAUGAGGGUCACACAAAGUCAAACUCUUCCAGCUCAUCAUCUCUGCACAGGCAUAUGGACAGCCAUCACACUCAGGCGAUCCAGCGUCUACGUGGAUGUGGGGGGGACGAGGCCGCCACCCUGGGGGAGUUGCUCCGCUGGCGCAGGGCGCUGUGUGAGGGGCGGGCCGACUGGAGGCACCAACGGGACGUCAACGGAACACCACAAACCCCACCCACCACACUGGUCAGGGCUAAUAGGAAGUCUUCUCCAUAGUGGGAGGAUGUCCAACCUGGGAUAUGCCCACUUUCCAUGUCUCACACUGCCUUUCUUGUCUGCCUCCUGCCACGCCCUCCUGCCCAUGUCUGCCACCCCAUUCGGCAAAGGACAGGUCUGAGAGAGAGGCAUUUCAUUGGCUAGGACUGCCCAACCCACAAGAGCAUUAACAGAUAAAGGAGGGAGAAAGAAAAUAGAGCAGCAAUCAGGAUCCAUUUUAUCUUAUCUCUCUCUCUCUCUCUCUCUCUCUCUCUCUCUCUCUCUCUCUCUCUCUCUCUCUAACAAGCUGGAUGUAGGCUAACAGAGGAGAGGACUGUACAUACAAUAGUUGCUAUGUGGAAUGAGGUUUGCCUAUGUGUUUUCUGUCUGUAGUAAAUAUGGUGCACGUUCUCUCUCU
ensembl:lncRNA